UCCUUGAAAAUCAUCACUGUUACUUUUGAA
rnacentral:piRNA from 1 species